rnacentral:lncRNA from 1 species
AGCAGCUCUCCGGGAGACCAGAGUGUGGCUAUCAUGGAGUCCUUCGAUUUGAACAGAGAUCCUUUCUCUAUAACUAAUUCAACGCAUGGCUAUAUGGGUAAUUUUGAACAAGUGGAUCUUUCUCCAACCUGAAAGGCUGCCAGUAGGGAGAGUGAGUGAGAAAAAGAGGAUUUCAAAGGCGUCUCAGAGAACCACAAAGCAAUCACGAAGCACCACUGGAUUGCCACAAUCUCCUUACAGAAGUGCAUUGAGAGGUAGUGAUACAGAAAAGUUGAGGCUGCAUCGUCACAAUAACAUACUCUAUAAUACCUGGGACAGUGUUGGAAAUGAUUCUGUCAUCAAACAGAGUGCCCCAAACCGUGGAAACUGACUAUAUCUCCCAUGAGGAAUUUUUUAAAGAACUGUGAUAGUCUCCCCUCCCCAUUAUUUCACAGAAUUUCAGAGAGCAGUGAACUAUGAAAUACAGAAGACUAGAAAAGUAAAAUAAGAACUGCCAUUGUAACCUUUAUAUGUCACAAUUAACGGAAAAAAAUCCUUUUAGCCAAAGAUUACGUUAUACAAGUGUAUAAAUUAUGAUUAGUUACUCUAAAUUUAGAUAUGACUGUUUUAUUAAAUCCAAAGUGUGGGAAUAAAUCAUUAUAAAGGG